rnacentral:rRNA from 1 species
CCCUUAGAUGUUCGGGGCCGCACGCGCGCUACACUGAAUGAAUCAGCGAGCGUAUGUCCUAGGCCGAAAGGUCCGGGUAACCCGUUGAACCUCAUUCGUGAUUGGGAUAGGGACUUGCAAUUGUUUCCCUUGAACGAGGAAUUCCCAGUAAGCGCAAGUCAUCAGCUUGCGUUGAUUACGUCCCUGCCCUUUGUACACACCGCCCGUCGCUACUACCGAUUGAAUGGUUUAGUGAGAUCCUUGGAUCGGCCCUGUCGCGGCUGGCAACGGCCGCGUCGGCGCGUCGAGAAGACGAUCAAACUUGAUCAUUUAGAGGAAGUAAAAGUCGUAACA